CCGGCUGAUGCGACGGGCCACGGGGCUCUGCACUAGUUAAAGGGCCAACUUCCUCCGAGAGGCGCCGCCUUCUGGGACGCCUCCUCCAGGCCCGCGCCCUCCUAGGAGCUGGGGGCUGGCCCCGGCCGCCUUCCCGCCCUCGCUCCGCCGCUGAGCCCCGAGGGGAUCUCUAGUCUGGAAGGACUUCCCGCGCCUUCACUUUUGCUGAAUUCGGCUUCUUACUCUCAGCGGUUCAGGGCAGCCCAGGAGCACCUUGGGUACCUUUGUUUUGUGACCAGCAAGUCACACUUUACAGGAGGGAAGGCUCGAGGACCAAUUUCAAAAAGGAAAAGGAUAACAUGUACAGAUGGACUCCAACUUCUGCUCAUCAAUGAUUCUUGAGGGGAAGCUUUCAGGAGC